rnacentral:rRNA from 1 species
CAGCCGCCGCGGGAAUACGAAGGGUGCAAGCGUUAAUCGGAAUUACUGGGCGUAAAGGGUGCGUAGGCGGUUGUUUAAGUCUGUUGUGAAAUCCCCGGGCUCAACCUGGGAAUGGCAAUGGAAACUGGACGGCUAGAGUGUGUCAGAGGAUGGUGGAAUUCCCGGUGUAGCGGUGAAAUGCGUAGAGAUCUGGAGGAAUACCGGUGGUGAAGGCGGCCCCCUGGACAAAGACUGACGCUCAGGUGCGAAAGCGUGGGGAGCAAACAGGAUUAGAUACCCCCGUAGUCCCUGUCUCUUAUAC